rnacentral:rRNA from 1 species
AGGGUUUGAUUAUGGCUCAGGAUGAACGCUGGCGGCGUGCUUAACACAUGCAAGUCGAACGAAGCACUCUAUUUGAUUUUCUUCGGAAAUGAAGAUUUUGUGACUGAGUGGCGGACGGGUGAGUAACGCGUGGGUAACCUGCCUCAUACAGGGGGAUAACAGUUGGAAACGACUGCUAAUACCGCAUAAGCGCACAGGAUCGCAUGAUCCGGUGUGAAAAACUCCGGUGGUAUGGGAUGGACCCGCGUCUGAUUAGCCAGUUGGCAGGGUAACGGCCUACCAAAGCGACGAUCAGUAGCCGACCUGAGAGGGUGACCGGCCACAUUGGGACUGAGACACGGCCCAA